UGAGGCCCAUGAUGAUUUUUAAAAUUUGUCUACAUUGUCUGAUUUCCUUGACAUAGGAAUCUAAAGCUGUUCUGUGGCCCCG